ACUUUUUAUUUUUGGGCGUGGGGUAGGCGUCUUUUUGCGGGAACUGCGAUUUAAUUUGUAAAUCGUGGUUCCCGUAAAAAGACGUUAUUCGCAGGCGGCGCUGGAGACCGUACCGUUCCCUACACGUGCACGGAGGCCACAUUCCAAGGUAAGAUCGAUAUUUAUUCGAAUGUUAGUUCAUAGUUUGUCAUAUGGUUAUUUCCGUUUUCCAGAUUUCAGAAAUGCGACGUUGGAAGACAUUAACGAAGGCGGGUACGGCGGUUUUACUUUAGCGGGGAAAACUUUCCAAAAGGCCAUCCGGAGCGGGCCUCGACAAACGAAACUAUAGUACUCUUCCGCGGGCCCUGACCGACGCCAUUUCGGACCCGGAACGAACGUUUAAUACGUCGUUUUAGUCCUCUAGCUUUAAUAUAAACCAAAUCUUCGGUUUCGAUGCCGCACUUUAAUUAUUAAAUGUAUUUCGAGUUUAUUUUUCGGCAUAAACAGUUUUCCGCGAUAAGAAGCCGACGUUCCUCGUGCAAGAUGUUAAUUCGACUUUGUCGAUUACACGGAAACGGUAUAAUCUUUCGCUCUACUCCCGUAAUUUCGAUAUAUAAAAACCGUCGUCGUCCCGCGUACGGCACCCCACAUAGCGUUAUGGCCGACGUUUUAUCGAAACAUUUAAAGUGCAAUUGUUUUAAAUGCGACGAAAUUUCCUAGUUCUACUAACGAAAUAGACAAUCUACUUACGUCGACCGCCAAAUUUAGAACUUUCAUGCUCCUCGAACUUUCGACACACGACAAACGAUAUUGCAACAAUGAUAGCGAAUUAUUGUUUGCGAGAUUUCCUACAAAAAUUUAUUAAAUGCAAGUUUUACUUAUAAAAAUUCGUUACUCGAGUGAACGGGAAUUUAGGAUAAGAGAAUUAUCUCUACUCUUUUCCGAAAUUAAGUAUUGAAACGUAACUUCGUCGUCGGUUUCAGUCGAAGCCCGCACCAGAUAACAGCGCAGUCCUCUGGAAAGUCCUUUCUUUCGAUCGGUGUUAUCUUCGACCGUUUGCCGCUAAAGUAAAAACGUAUCCGAAAUUCCGACCGAGAGAAGACGACGGAAUGACAGGCAAUUCGAUAAUAAUUCGUGCGAGUAAUAUCCCUUACCGACGGAUUUCCGGUUAAACACCGCCUACGUUCCGACUGUUUCUCGAGAUACGACAACAGAAUAUCUCACAAAUGUAUUGUACGGUUUUAAGUCCGUAUAGUAUAUUAUAUUUCUCGUAUUACGACAUCCCGUUUUUCGAACGAGUACAAAAAUGUCCAAAAUUUUCUCGAUAACACGCCUUUUCUGUAGAAAAACUAAUCGAUAAAAGCGGAUACUUUGGUCCGAGAUUUGUAAUUUUACCGAGUUCUACCGCGCGUGUGGUUAAAAAAGAAAAAUAAAAAAAAAAAAAAUACGCGAUUCGAAAAAGUUAUUUUUUACCGCGACGAACUUCCUU
rnacentral:lncRNA from 1 species